UACUUUAGUCUAAACAAGGGUUUCCAAGAUCAAAUGAACAGUGUUUGAGACCGAAUUGUUAAUGAGGCCGGCCCUUUGGGUGUUCAAAUGACGGAAAUAUUCACCUAGGGUUAGGAUCACACGGCUAGAAUUAAAGGGUUGCAGGGCACUUUUGUCAUCUUAAUUUUGGGAUUGGGAUUGACGGUGAGGGCAGACGGAGAGGGACAGUGGCCAUGCCACUUGCAGAGGUAGAGAGCGAUAGAGAGAGAUUUCGUGCGGAUCUUUCGAUUCGGGAGUAGGAGGGUGACAUUGAGAGAAACCGAGAGAGAGAGAGAGAGAGAGAGAGAGAGAGAGAGAGAUUUUGUGCGGAUAUUCGAUUCGGGAGUGGGAGGGUGACAGUGAGAGAAAUCGUCGGGACUGCAAGGAGAGAAAGAGAGAGGGAGGGGUGGGGGUGGCGAACAGUGGCAAGUUAGGUUCGUGUAUGCGGGAUUUGCUGUCCUUCGUCCAUCCUGCGUCUGCAUGUCCUUAUUCACAAGCUGCCAAUAGCAAUUUUCCCAGUUCACAUGCCCUCGAUGCAACUCACGCUACUGUUCCCUGCACCGCUACAAGUCCAUUCGUGCAGAAGACAUCUUCAUUAACUGGUAACAGAUGAAAUCGUUUGCAGUAGAGGUUCUCGUGCAGAUGAGGGAAAAUACUGCAAGUAGAGAAUAGAUAAUAGCUCAAGACACAUGGUAUGAGGGUGCAGGUAAACUGUACAUAUGCAUCUGGAAAAAGUAAAAAGUAAAGGCCGGUUGGUUGUAGCUUCUCAUUCUCACCACAACAUUAAAAAGUCAAGGCGGGUUGGCUGUAGCUUCUCCUUCUCGCCGCAACAUAAAAUACUUUUGAACUGCAUUAAGCUGUUAAUAAAUUAAGCUUAAGCUAUAUUUUACA